GACCGGACCCGACCGGGAGCCCGGGGCGUACUUGUAAAGCGUGGGUCGGGGGUUCGACUCCCCCUCCGGCUCU
rnacentral:tRNA from 1 species